rnacentral:misc_RNA from 1 species
GAUGAAGAACGUAGCGAAAUGCGAUAAGUAAUGUGAAUUGCAGAAUUCAGUGAAUCAUCGAAUCUUUGAACGCACAUUGCGCCCCCUGGUAUUCCGGGGGGCAUGCCUGUUCGAGCGUCAUUUCACCACUCAAGCCUCGCUUGGUAUUGGGCAACGCGGUCCGCCGCGUGCCUCAAAUCGACCGGCUGGGUCUUCUGUCCCCUAAGCGUUGUGGAAACUAUUCGCUAAAGGGUGCUCGGGAGGCUACGCCGUAAAACAAACCCAUUUCUAAGGUUGACCUCGCAUCAGGUAGGGAUACCCGCUGAACUUAAGCAUAUCAAUAAGCGGAGGA